ensembl:lncRNA
UUAUAAGCCAACUGUGAACACAAGACUGUUUCAUUUUCAUGAAUAAAAUGAGAUGGUAGUAGUGACCAUGAAGGGUACUUUUGAUUCAGUGUUCAUACUUUAAAAAUGUUGAUCAUCAGAAAGAAUAGUGAUCUGCACAAGAUACGAUUAUUUUCCCAGUUAGAAAUAUGUGGUUUACUGUAACAAUAAGUCUUUACUCCAUCCACUGGAGCCCUGCUGCCAUGUGGGCGCUUUCCACCAGGCCACCUGAGUUCUGCCCACCACCACGUUAUGGUCCCAAGUAACACAGAGAGACUUAUAUUAGGUACAAAUGCUGCUUGGCCAAUGACUAGGAUUUCUCAUCGGCUAGCUCAGUCUUAAUUAUCACAAAUCUAUAUAUUUUAUAAGACUUAUCUCAUUGAGGACGCCUUCCACUGGCGUCCCCAUCCCAGGAUCACAUGGCAGCUCAGAGCAGAGAGCAGGAGGAAGAGUGAAAGGGAAUGGCUUCCUUCUUGCCCUUGCUUAUAUAUGAGUCUCCCUGCUCUGUCACUUCCUUCCUGGAUCACAAAUUCUUUACUACAUUUCCCAGAAUCCUCCUUGACUCCUAGUCCUGCCUAACUUUUGCCUCAUUGGCCAAACAGUACUUUAUUUAUCAUCAAAUAAGACAAACACAUACACAGAAGCACUUCCCCCAUCAGUUUACCUUUACACAAAAUAUUUUGUUCUAACACACAACCUUGAAUCCUCUCUGAUUCUGCCUUUUCAAUGAUUGUCAAACUGAUUGAAACAGAAGGUACUUGUUUAGGUAGGUAUGUUCUACCCCUGGUUUUUUAAAGCAUCUUUUGAGAUAGGGCCUCAUGCUACAGCCCUUGUUAGCCUCAAUCUAGAUGGUUUCUUGCCUCUACCUCCUGAGUGCUAAGAUUACAGACAUACAACAUUAUGCCUGGCUGCUUCCUUAUUUUCUAUACAUGGAAUCUGCAUUCUGAACUUAUCCACACUGCCUUUGAAACCAUUCCUCUAAAAGUCAUCAAUAACCUCUGUUAGUAUACAGCUUGAGGGUGCCCUUUGAGUGGGGGACCAUGGUGGAUUCUAUGGCAGGUGAGGGUGUCUGAGGUGGGGGACAAACACACCAAGCAGAUAGACCUUAAGUGAGAAGUUUUAUUGGAAAGGGAAGGGAAACAGAUAAGUUUAAGGAAAGAGAUGUAGAAAGUUUGGAUAUAUGAUAACUCCUUCCAUUUAACUGUCCACUGGCAAUAAUUGGAAAGGUCCCAUAAAAUAUCAGGAUCUAAAGAGACAUUAGGUGGCCAAUUUGACUUAUUAUCUCCCAGUGGAGUGGAUGGGUUUAUUUUGUUGGUUUACUUUCCAUGGGUGAGGCUAAAAAUGGCACAUGUCACUCUUGCAGCUCGUCACCUGAAAAGUGAGGGCCAAGGGAGAAGCCUGAUAGGACUCCAUAGUCUGAGAGUAGGCAGUAAUCAAAAGUCGAAUGCACUGCCCAGUGUAACAAUGAGUCUUUCCACCAGCCACCCGAGCCCCGCAGGUGGGCCCCCAAAUAACAGACUUAUGGAGGAUGCCGGCGGAAUGCGUCCUGUCUUCCUGGGAUCACAUGACGGCUCCACAGAAAGGAGGAGGAAGAGAACAACUUCCUGCUUGUCCCUGCUUAUAUUCUGAGUCUUCCUGCUAUGUCACUUCCUGCCUGGAUCACAGACUUUACUACAUUUCCCAGAAUCCUCCUUGACUCCUAGUCCCGCCGAACUUGCUGCCUCAUUGGCUGAACAGUGCUUUAUUCAACAACCAAUAAGAUAAACAUAUACACAGAAGGACUUCCCCAUCAUCUCUUUUCUGUCUAAAUAAAACAAGGGUUUUACCAUUAACAUAGUAAAAUAUAUAACAAAACAGUUAUCAAGUAAGAACUGUAGUUACAAUAUUUAGUUCAUUAACAUUUAGCAAGAUUUAAAGAAAAUAUUCUAUCGUCUGUCCUGUCUUUGUGUGCCUAAGGUCUUAUAUGUAACUUAUCUUUUAUAAAAACUAAAGAAAACUAUAACCAUAACUAUCUGUCUUCAAUUCCAUCAAAGACCACAGAAGGAUAAUAUAUAAACUUCAGAUCUGACAGAGACAUCUUGCUACCUGGACAGUCACCCAAAGUUCCUCUGUAACGUUGGGGCAUCAGCCUAUAGGCCACAGUGUGUCUAGCACACUUCUCAGUGAAGCAGGAACCCUUCAGGACUGUUCGUCUUGUUUUGUAAGCUCAGCAGUCACUUUCUUAUGGGUCCUGCAUGUCCAGUUUAUACAGCAACAAACAGUCCAGGCAAGAGCAAUUUCUUGCCCAAAUAGCUAAUCUUGCCAUGUUGAAAGUAAACUCCAUAAUGAGUUUCUUCGAUGCCCAUCUUCCUCUCCGACAUAAUUGGUGUGCCAAGAGCAGUUGUGUCUCACUGUCAAGAAAAACCCUAAAGGUUUGAAGAAUAUCUAUCCAUCUCAAAUACAACUCACAACUCUGUAUAUCUAGAAAACCUAACUAACCUAACUGUAAUUUUUGACUCUUAUAGGUGAUUAUAUAAUCUAUUUAAUUAUGCAUUACAUUUUAAAAGAUCUGUAUUACACAUUACCAAAUAAGAGGAGAAAUUUACAUAUCACAAAAUUGACCUUAAAUUUGUAUCAAUAAAUGAAAAUCCAUACCAAUGCAAAGUAGUCAUUUCUAUAUCCUAUUCCCCCUUUUUCCUUUAAAAAGAGAUUGACUGUGAUCAUUACCAUUUAUAACUAACCCCAUUUAAAUGAAAACAAACAUUUAUAAACAAUAUUUCGGAAUUUGGGCAUCGUUCAUUCCAUACUGCUUCCUGCUGGUUGGGGAGCAAUGUCAUGGUCCUGAAAAAAAAAAAAAAAACAGAAAUCCUGGCUAUAGUGGUCUAUGACUGCAUCAUCUCAGCUGCUUUGGAUAUAGGAUAAGUUGGGCCACUGCUUCAGGGGGUCUUGCUUGAUCAAACCAUAUAGUCUGGAAGGAAUCCAUAGCUUUUCAUUUUCUGUGGAAACACAAGUAGUCUGUCAUUAGACUUAAAUUUUAAAUGCUUAAAUGACUUAAAUGCUUAAAGCCAAAGCAUUUUUAAAAUGUAUAAGUUGGGUUAAUUCAGCAGCAUUGAUAACCAAACAUAUUGUAGCAGCUGUAACUCUUUCCUUAGCAAUCUAACAAUUUAAAGACAACAAUAUAGCAUAUACUAUCCAGACUCUGUGUGCAUUUUUCAUAUUUACGUUACUUUUUUAUUACUCUAUUUUUUUAAUUUUAUUUUUUCCUUUUAUGAGACAGGGUUUCUCUGUGUAACUUUGGCUGCUCUUGAAUUCACUCUGUACUCCAGGCACGCCUUGAAGUCACAGAGAUCUGCUUGCCUCUGACUCCAGAAUGCUGGGAUUAAAGGCGUGUACUACCACUGCCCAGCUACUCUAAUUUUUUUUGCCUCUGCUUCUGGAGUGCUGGGGGGACACCACACCCAGCUACUCUAUUUCCUCCUGUUACUUUUUCUCUCACGAGCCUACAUAUACUUUUAAACACAGUGUAAAGCUUUACAGGUUUUUCUUUAUCUGAAUCUAUCUUUAUUGUAAAUCUUUACCUUUUUCUGGCCGCGCAGUCUUUUAAGUGUUAAACAACACCGCCAAAAUUAAAGUGGCGGCUUUUCUUUUUAAAGGAAAAAAGGGGAAUAGGAUAUAGGAAUG